rnacentral:rRNA from 1 species
UACGUAGGGUGCGAGCGUUGUCCGGAAUUAUUGGGCGUAAAGCGCGUGUAGGCGGCUUGGCAAGUCGGGUGUGAAAGCCCUCAGCUCAACUGAGGAAGUGCGCCCGAAACUGCUUUGCUUGAGUGCUGGAGAGGGUCGCGGAAUUCCCCAAGUAGAGGUGAAAUUCGUAGAUAUGGGGAGGAACACCGGUGGCGAAGGCGGCGACCUGGACGAGUAACUGACGCUGAGACGCGAAAGCGUGGGUAGCAAACAGG